AAGCCCAAGCACAGAAAAGCUAAGUUGCUUGUCCAGGGUCACACAACUCCUGAUAGCACUGAGAUGUGAACCUAAAUCCUCACCACCCAGAGACUUGCUGUACUGUUCUUCACCGAGCCGUGGGGCAAACUCUCUGCCUUCCAAUGUCUUUGGACACAAGGGUGAAUGGGCUUAAAAUGAACUUGCUUUUAACAUUACAUAUUUGGUAUGGGGUCUUAACAAUGUCACAGGCCCCCAGCGCUCUGGAUCCUUGGGAGCCACUGGCACAAUGGAUUGAUUAAUUGCUGGACACAUGCUGCCCUCUUGUGAUGAAAACCAUCCAAACAGGAGCUAUUCAAGCUCUCGGGAAUGCCCCCACUUACUUCCUUUGGCCCAGAUCCAUGGUUGGGGGAUGGGGGUUGAGUGGCCAAUGAGGAAGUUGUUGGCUCUAUAGAGUCAGACUCAUGUCACCAAAACUUCUCCAGGGUCUUCCUAGCUUUGUGACUCUCAGGUUUGAAAAUGUGACUCCAGAGUCCUGUAACUCUUAGCACCAGGGACACUAAAGAGAGACCCCAUCUGUGUUCUUAGGGUGAGCGUUUUGUUAAGUUGCCCUAGUGGAUUAGGACCAGAUUUACCAGACUUAGCAGGAAGAAGGUCAGUAGCAGAAUGAACUGAAGGGCACAAACUACCAGAACAGAAGGAAAACAGAACCAGACAGGCCUGUGUUCUAGCUGUGUGACCUUAGGCAAGUCCCUUUUGCUCCAACACCAGUCUCCGGGAUAGUAGAGUAGGAGAAUUGAUCUGAGCUCAGAUUCUCAGGUGUUGCCAGGUGUGGCUUUCUACAUUUGCCAAAAUCCCUUUCCUGAAGGGUUUUGCUCCCUCCGCCCACCACACACACAUUUUUAUACACAUCUUGAUUAGGACGAAGACCUACACCCAUAGUCAUGGGUUCUCAGUUUCCCUCAUUCAUGAAGUAAUUCCUAUUUCGUAGGAUUGUUGGGAAGAGGUGGUUUCCAUUUGAGUCAGUAUAAUGGGUCUGUUUGGCAAAGCAAGGACAUGUAUAUACACAUACAUAUUUUUUUUAAAGUAAGGAAAACUGAUUUUGAAGAUAGUGAUACCUACACUAAUGAAUUAUUAUCUUGCACAGUACCAGUUUCAAACAGAUGAUUUGUGGAUGAUUCACUCUUCCCGGAAGUUGUAGCGGUCAUUGGUGCCAGUCUGUAGCUUGCAGUGCCUAAACACUGUUGAAGGUUGGGGUCCAGGACAGGGUCAGAGGAGACAUUGCUGGCUUCACAUUGCAUUGUCCUGUAACUUUCAUCUGCUUCUAAAUCAUUUCGUACACACUUAGACUUUAUGCGCUGACAUAAGUUGAAAAAGAAAAUUUCAUAGCGAGAAUCUUUGACUGAAUAAUCCUACUCCAAAGAAAUAGUCCUAAAAAAUUUUCUACUUCCACAGAAACGUUUUAUGAAAUAAUCACCACCACAACCAAUCUGGAAGACUGGAUUUCUAAUAUUUGGUGCAUAAUUAAGCAAAUCAACAGAAUACAGAGGAUCCUUAUAAAGCCUAUGUAACAAUGUAGAAAGUGAACGUGAGGACAUCGUGGUAGAUGAAAUAUGUUAGUUACAAAACAAAACCACAAACACAAACACCGUGAUUCUACUUAAUGAGGUACUUAGAAUAGUUAAAAUGCCAGAGACAGAAAGGGGGGUUACCAAGGGCUGGGGAGGGAGGAGAAGGGGGAGUUCCUUAAUGAACCUAGAGUUUUAGAGUUCUAAGAAAAUUCUGGAGCUGGAUGGUGGUGUUGGUGGCACAACAUUAUGGAUAUAUUUAAUACCAUUGAUGUGUAUACUUAAACAUAGUUAAGAUGGUAAAUUUUUUGUGUAUUUAACCACAGUAAAAAAAAGUUGGGAAAAUGUCACAAAGUAGGCAGAACAUGGGAAGAUGACACAUAAAAAUUAAAGUAACUUAGUACUGUGUCAUUUAUAAGCAUUAUUUUAAAAAAUUUCCUCUAAUAUUGUGAUUACUGUUUCUAUAACAAAAGCACUGGCAGAAAAAGUCAAGGAAAAAACGUUGAGAUCUUUUGAUAUUUUGUUAUUUUCAAAAAAAAAAAAAAACAAAACAACCAGCCACGUAGUCAUGAGAAAAACUUGACUAACAUCCUUGCACUUGCUUUAUCAUUCACUGUUGCUUAAAAAAUUUCUUGUUACAGAUCAUCGGGGGCCCAUAACCUUUUCAGUGUUAAGUGCCUGGAAAAGUUUUAAGCUCCUCUUGUGUGCAGUCGGUUGCGUUUUAAGGCUGAGAGAAUCGGGCAGGGAUGGCCCCGGGGACACAGCGGUGCUGCUACAAGCACAUCUCUAUGCUCCAGGGCGAGGGUCUUUUUUUUUCCUGUAAGGGAAAAUUAGUUCCCGGAAAUACACGUGGCAUACCUGGAAGUGGACCAAAAGAUCCGUGAGCCCCCUGCAUCCAGUGGGGGAGCAGAGGGGGCACCCGGCGGACGCUCGCGGGCCCUUGCUCUGUCCUACGGUCCACGACACGGCCUCGCGUCCCUCUGUUGGGUGAGUCCCACGGCAGCGGUAGGGCUCUUGGGUGACAAUGAUGAAGGCUGACAGCUGUGUCUUUCGCUGGCAAAGCGAGACUGUUCCCAAGCUGCUUGAAGUGGAGUAUUCUUGAACCUGACUCUGAGAACUUCGGGCCCAUAGGUGACCUUGUCAGGAAGUUCCCUAAGCCUUGGAGCCGAGAAGAGAACCACCUGGGUGUUGCCCCGGAGCGGAAAUGAGCAGCGUUGGUUUCACGGUGGCUAGUGAUCUGUACUGAGCGGCAAUCCUGCUUUCCAGCAUCCAAGCAUCCGUGUGUCUGAUGCUUACAUUUGCCCUGUGGGAUGGAGGGACAUCCCUAGGAGGCCCAGCUUUCAAGACACAGAUUGAGAUUCCGAGUCUUAGCACCUGGCCCACAGCCACCUGGUGACUCCAUGUUGUUGUUUUUUGUUUUGUUUUGUUUGGGUAGGUUCCAAAUCAGCCCAGACAUGCCGUGGUUGCAGGUCUGAAAUAGAGGAGCUGUCGUUUCUUCCAAAACCAACCGGGGUGUCCUGUGGAAAGAAAGAGUCCUGUCCUACGUUGUGGAAUUUUUAAUUUUUUUUUUCCAACUUUCAGUGGUCUUCUUGAUGAGGAAAAGUCUCCACCUCUCUGCACAGAAGCUCACCAGUGAAUAAUGGAGAGCCCUUCCAACAAAUUUGGAAGAAAUAGAAACUCUGUCGUUCACCAUCUAGAAGACCAGAAGUAUUUCCAAACAGAACUUAAGCCAACACUGCUCAAAUUCUAAUAUCCUUAGAGGCAGCAGUUUUAAUCUUGAUAAUCUGUAAAAGCAGUACAUUUGGUAGUUUCUAAGUAAACGUUAGUCUCCCAAAAGUUUAGCUUUAGUGGUUUAAUGAAGUCUAAAUCUGUCCACUGAGAAGUAUAGUUCUUCUACUGAGGAAAUCUGAAGUCUGCCCUAAGCUCCUUUAGCCUUCAGCUCAACACGUUCAUUCCAGAACUACUGCCUAGAGUCUCUGUAGGGAGAGAGUUGCUGCCUCAGGGGGUGACUCUUAGGUGAAUACUAAGAUCUGGGGUGAGGGGAGGAUUGGCUCAGAGCUACCAAAGCGGCCCCUUAGCAGAGCAGCCACCUAUGUGGCUGAAUGACUGUACAGGAUUUUCAGAACUAACUUCCUCAGUUGCCAUUUUCUGACAGGGGCUUCUGCACAAAACCAGACUGGACCUCUGAGAACUCAAAGGUGGAGAGGCCUGCAAAGGACCAUAACGAUGACACCUCUGGCCUUCCUUCAGCAGGCUCCACACAGCACCCCACACCAGGGUGCCACGCAGCAGAAUACUGAGACCCAAGGACUAAAACAGAAGCCUGCAAGGAGCCUUCGACAAAACCUUGGAUGCGUCAUAUCCCGACCGUGGAUAUAUGUCAGUUAAUCUGUAGCUGUGAAAGGUGGGCCGGCCAUCAACCUGUGGGGAGGUACUGAGGAGGAAGAGAAGGUUCCAGGUAAAAAAACAAAAAACAAAAAAACCCCCACAUGUUUGUUGAGCACCUUUUCUGCCAGAAGCUUGGCACUAACUCUCUACCAUGUCCUCAACUCUUCCGUGGGGACAGUAUGACUAACUCGCUUCCCUGGUCCUGAGGGCCAGUUCUGAACUCAGUCUUAUUCCAUGUCCGAUAAAAAGAUCCUGGAUAUGCGUCAUGUCUCUUCAUGGAGUAGUUAUAGUCACUCAGACGGCUCAGCAGGCCCACUCGUGCCCUGUCUCCUCCCCGGGGCGUGGACCCCACACGUGGAGGCGGCCUCAGAAGCAGAUGAUCCGCUUCUCGUCUUCAAAGACUUUGGCCUCCUCUGGCUUUAUCAAAUUUCCAUUUAGGCUGUUGGAGAAAAACAAGCAACAUAAGUAAAACCGUAGGAACUUGUGGGGGCCUCGCCAGUAUGUGUUCUGACACUCUCCUGUUCUUCAAGUGGCCCUGAAGUUAGGGGAUGUGCUCCGUUCGGACACUCAUGUGAUAAUACUACUCCUUUCCAGCUAUUGUCACUCUCCGAACUGGCUCUCACUAAGGUCACCAGUAGCCUUUAGGAACCCGAACUUAAUGACAUCUCUCAGGCCUGGUCAUCAUCUCCUUCACAGGCGUUUGGCUGUCUUGCCCUCGGCCUCCGUGAAACACCACGCUCACUUGACUUGAUAUUAGGCUCUCUGGCUUUCUCCUGUGUCUGCCACUCCGUCUCAGUCUCCCCUCCCCUGUUCUCCUGCAUGUGGCCUCUAAAUACUGGCUUUCCUUCAGGCUGGGGGAAGGGCCUAUCACUGCCCCCCCGCGACCUCAUCCCUACCUCAGUGGGCUUGCAGCCCCGACCUCUCCUGUGUGCCUCCACCCGCUGAACACCUGCACUUCGAUGCCUCCCAGGCACCUCAAGGGGGCCACGCUGGCCCAGCGCCCCCUGGUUCAGUGUCGAACCACUCUUCGUCCGGCUGUGUAAGCCAGUGACCUGGGGAUCAGCCUUGACCCAUUCCCUCCUCCUCAUCUUCAUACUCGGUCUGUCCCAGAGUUGUGUCUUACUCUCUAAACAUCCCCAGCAUGCCUCCCUGAAACUUCUCCAUAUCUUCACCGCCACCAUGGUGGUCUGAGCUCCACCAUCGCUUUUCUGGAUCACGGCAGUACCGUCUGGCCUCUUCAUCUCCAUUUCCCUGGAGGAGCCAGAGUGGUCUUUUUAUAAAGCAAAUCUGAUCACAUCCCCCUCUGCCUCAAACCCCUCUAGGACUUUCCAUUGCUUUUAGGAUAAAGACCAGAAUAUGUAAUAUGACCCACAGAUCUCUUAUGGUCUAGUACGCCCCAAGUCCUCUGCCUCCCGUUGUCCCUUCUAUACUAUCUGAACCCCAGGAGCACAGCGACAUGUUUCUGUUCUUCAAGGAUACCAUGCUCCUCCUUCCUGCCUCACACAGCCUUUGCAUAUGCUGUUCCCUCUCCCUGGAACACUCUACCCUGCCCACAGCUGACUGACUCCUACUCAUUCUUCCUGGCUUAGCUUAAUGCCACUUCCUUAGGGAGAAGUGCCCUGAAACCUCAUCUGUGUUCGGUUCCCUUCUUAGCUCUCUCCUGGACAGCACUCAUAAUGAAUUGCUUGAAUGAUUUUUCCCUUUAUGGUGUGUCUCUCUCACUAGGGGUAAAGCCAUGGAUGAGGGCAGGUCUGUUGGGGUCACUGUGGAUGGUGCUAGCACCGUGCCUGGCACUCCAGCAUUGUUAGUCAGCAAAUGAAGAUGCAACGCUAAGAGGCUUAGGGACACAGCAGUGACCACUGAUUGUGUGUUUUUUUGUUAAGAAACAACCCACAGGCCCCACGUGUUGUCAUUGAGGUAAAGGCCCCAGGUCAGUAAAUGGAACUCACUGCCUAAUCAAACUGCACUUCCGCCGCCCCAGGAAUACAGCCUUUAGCCAGGCAACCUGACCAGGAAACUUUGAGCCCUUUCUGCUCCUUAGGAGCGCAACCUGGCCUACACAGUGCAUUUCUGGCUAGUAAAUAUCCCCUUUUGAAUGCCUUCUCUGCCUUUCCAAAACCUCUCUUGUUGGGCUCGGCAGAGCUCUAUCUGCUUGCUAGACACAUGCCACCUGAUGUGUGAAUUAUUUAAAUAAAGCCCAUCAGACCUUCCAAGGUACAUGGCUGAAUUCUGUUUCACAGCCGUGGUGGCGGCCCUGGGAUCUACAGCGAGCUCCUGACGGCCUUGCAGGGACGGGGAGAAGCAGGGGCACCGCGUCCCGCGAGCCCUUCCACGUUCCUGUCUUUCUGGCCCUUGCGCGGGUGCCACCGCCGCUCUUAGUACCACUGGAAGAAACUGAAAGGUAGAGGAAGAAUUCUUCCUUCCCUCUGGCUGGUGUAGUUGGUGAGUACUCAUUCUCCGGGCCAGCUGCUCGCCCUGGAGCUGUUGUCGCACAGAGAUCUGGGACAGCUGACACACGCACAGCCAGCAGAAGGUAAGGUUUCUGACCACACCAGCCUCCCAGCUUCUCUGUCUGCAGGGUCUGGUGGAAUGAGUGAUAAGACUCUUUCUUUCUCUAAAUUCAGUUAGCAGGAGAAAAUACUGUAGAACUAGGUCCUUGCGCUGAGCUACUUUUGGCAAAAAUUAGUAGAGUACUCUUGGGUGACUGAUCAUUUCCUCCCAGAGAUGGUCAUGGUUUUCUUUCUUUUGUGUUGAGGGUCACAGGAAGGAAUUCUCACAGGACAGAAUGCAGGCUUCAGUCCUAUAAGCCUACUGUGUAGCCGGCCUCAUGGACUGGUGAGGUCAUGGUUCCCCUCAAACCAGGAUCUCUUUAGACAAACUUUGCUGUAGGUUAAUACGCACAUGAGGUAAAAGCUGUUGCUAAAGAAACAUCUUGGAAGCCCAAGUUGCAAAAUUGGUGGUCACACGUCAACACUUAGAAGCUGUUACAGUGCUUAUCAUCUAACUCAAAGACCCCCGGUCAAGAUAAGCUGGUCAGGGAAUGGGUUAGAUUGACGCUCAGUCCCCCGCCAGCCUCAAGAAAAUGUCCAUGCGCCAGGGUAUGCGAUAAACACUACACAGUCCCCAAACUCAAGGCAGGGCCCUUCUAUGUAUUGGCUUGGCCCCCAGAGACCCAAGGCUUAGGCAUGGCUAUUAACGCGAAUAUAAAAUUCUUCCUUUCGUCUAGUUCUGUGUCCUAAGAGCUUGGCUUUGUGACCCAUGGGCAUAUUUUCGCUGGUCUCCGCCACUUGGAAGAGCACGCUUACUGGGGAGCAUCUUGCUGGCCAGUCUAAUAGGCGGGGGACCCGAGAUACACAGUUACAAGCAGCGUGCUCUGUCUGGCCAUGCCAGCUUUCCGGGAAGUUUGUCAUAAAAGGUCCCAGCCCAUAAGGGAGAGACCUCUGUUGCUCCUUAGUGCUGGAGAAAUCUCAUUCCAGUAGCACCUGCCUCAUGUCACAGAUAGCAGGUCUGUACUAGAUGCAUCCCAGGCAUCCUCUGGGAGACCAGAAGCAUGGAGACCAGAGGCACAGAGAAUAGUCCAGAGACCAUUCUCAUGGCCUGUACAAGAGGGUGGUUGCUUUCCCAGACUAUUCCUGGGAGUAGGUUUUUGGAUCACAGGGGCUGCAUCAUCUAUGCUUUCUCUAGGGACACCUCUUAAGUCUUGGAUUAAGCCAUUAAAAGACUUAUGACUUUGAGUCACGGUUGAAAUUAAUAGGAUCCAUUUGCUCAAUGUCCAGACAUUAGAUCCUUUAAAUUGGCUACUUGAAAGAGAAGAAUUACCUAUGAAGAGCUCUCAGUUGUCUUAUUGGUAUAAUGGCUAGUCUUAGGGAUUCCCUUGACAAGGUAAAAGAACAAACAUUAGACUUAAGACAGAUGAAUGUCUACGUCCCAUGGAAAUUCCCCUUCUUAAAAUCCAGCCCAACCUCUAGGUUCAAAGUAUAUAGGCUACUCUUAUAAAUGCUGGAAGCCAGAAAGUGAAUUUAAUAGAAGCACCCAGAACAAACAGGAUGGCUUGGUUUACUGUAAUCAACCUCUGUCAGCCUCAGCCAUUUCUAUAUGCUCACCUUUGCCAGGUAUAUUCUGGACCACGCCCCCUCCUGCCAAAAAUUCAUGUCCCCCAGACAACUGCAGAUCUUUUAUAAAGCCCUUUUCCCUCCAUUUUCAGAAGAUCCUACCAAGCUUAGAGAAACAUUAAAAAGACUGGACUAUUCACAGCCUCCCCUUCACAGGGGAAAGAGGUAACCGAUGAAAUUUCUCCUAGGCCCUCCUCAGUGAUCAGAGGAAGCCUGAUGCUGAGGGGCUAAUAGAGGGGGAAGGCUUUUAUUAAAAAGCUUUAUACAGACUGUACAAAAGAUAAAAUUCCCCUUGAUACAAAGAAGCAAAUUUAGUUAAAAAGGUAAGCCAGUCCCUUGAUAUUCAGGCUGGAAUCCAGUUCUUAGGGGGAAUUAAGUAAAAAAUCUACUUAUCUUUACCAAUCUCCAAACCUCAGCCAUUCCUCUCAAAAUAUUUGUGGAUAUUAUCAAAGGUCAGUAUAUUGGAACAAAAUUGCCCUGCACUUGAGGGAAGAAAAGGUCAUUUCUUUUCCCCCAGAGCAAUCAAGCAUUUUAUUUAAUUAUAACAAGGAAGCACUCACUUAUUCUCUCCUUGAAUGCCAUAUUUAAGCAGAAAUGAUAUUCAGGCCUCUUUUGAAAAUACUCCCCUACUAAUUUCCAGAACAUUAUUCACCAUUUAGGACCCAAGCCACUGAGAUUUAAAAUCAUGUUUGGCAGUGUACCCCAGGGCACUAAAUAAAUAAGCCUCCACCCACAUUACUCUGAAUUUCUGAAUAUCUUGUCCCAUGUUCCGUUACCCAGCAGAACAACUGAGCUUCCUAGAAGCAUUUGAACAAUAGCUGGAUAUGUGCCCAGAAUCCCAGCACCCUCCAUGUUUCCAAAAGCAAAGAGGUUAUCUGUGCAAGUCAGAAUCUAAUGCCCGUUAAGUGGUGAUGGCUUUGCCAGUAAAUAAGAAUGUGCUCUUCCAUGGCUAGGAAGACUGCCAUGGCCGACGGGUCAAAAAAAAGGUCAAUUUUAAGUCACAACUACCCUAAAACUCUUAGAAAAAAAACUUUUUGCAUUCUUGUCCCUUUAAAUCAUAAAUCUGGUCAUGUCUUUGAAAUAUGAACAGAGCCCACCACUGCCUGAGGCUGAAGGAAAAAUGGGAAGGGAAGAGACCUUUCUAAAAUAGAACCCAGUAACAGAGCUCUUGGGCCCACUGGAGUACCUCUGAUAAUGGCAGAUAUGCUCCAAAUCGCCACCCUGGACAAAACUUCAUUACUUUCCCUGUACAUUUUCUACCGCCAUCUUCUCUAGAACCUAGGUAAGGACCAUUCUUGGAAAUGCAAACUUGAGAGGGAAAUUUUUCAUUAGAAAAAGAGAGAGGGGGGCGCCUGAGUGGCUCAGGGGUUAAGCCUCUGCCUUCGGCUCAG